UCUUUUUUUCUUCCUUUUCUUUUUCUCCUUUUCUUCUCCCCUCCCCUCCCCCAUGUGUUAGCUUGGUUAUUUUUGUAAAGUAGUUGGAAAACUAGUUUCAACACCCUAAUUGUAAGGGAUCACCCCUUUCUAUGGAGAGAAGAUGAUUCAUUUCUUUGCUAAAUGUAGGUCUGCACCUCUUGCUUAAGCACAUGGUUUUUAAGUGAAAGAAUGAUUGGAGCAGGAUAAGGCAAGGAAUGUUCAGUUCUUGACCUAAAAUGUAAAUGGACUUCUAAGUGAAAGCCCCCCAUGCGUGUUCCACCAGACUUAUUUUGAAGUGUGUGACAGGUCCAAAACAUGAAACACUAAGGAAAAAGUUGUGUUUUAAAGGUGACCUCUGUAGGUCUGAGUAAGUCUACUUGUGCUGUCAAAAUGUUAUUGUAACAGUAUAAUGGAUUUCAAACUGGUUUAGCUGAUUCAUAACCUUUGUUUUGCCUUUUGCAAAAUUGACCUGAGAUAUUUAAAGUUACUCUUACCCAUGCUGUAUCAGGAUGAAGAGCCUGUGUAAACAGAUGAAAGUGAUUGUUUUGUUCUGCUUGCUAUUGUGUGGAGUUUUGAAAAGUUAGCAGUUGGAUUCAUCCACCCCUGGAAUAACUUUAUUUAUUGGGCCCCAGUCCCUGCUGAGAACAUUGCAGGCAACACAGUGCAAGCUGUGGAUCCUCAUCCUUUGGGAACUGGUAUUUAAAACCGCUCUGGAGGACAACUGCAGAUGAAAAAGAAAACUAAUUCAGUGCCUGAAGCAUGCUAAACUGCAUGGAGCACCUGGCUUAUUUUUUCUGUUCUGUGCUAAAAUGAGAGAGAGUGCUGUUUAGGACAGUCUGGGCACUUCAUCUUUGACGAUGAGUAGAGCAAACAGGUGGAUGUGUGUAACAGGACCAAGGAUAAAGAGCGCUUGUACCCCAGCGGACACUACAGGUACAACACUAUUUAUCCACCACCUAGUCUUCCUCUUCACGGUUUGCUGAAAAAAGAGAUUGCAGUCUUGUUUUUUUAAGAAGUAAUUCAUAACGGGAGCACCACUGACUCCUUAAUAUUCAGCACCUAUUUGAGUGCUGACAUUCACUGUUGAAAACAUGGUUGCCUAAACUUUUUUUGGCCUCGUCAAACCUACUCAUGUAAGUAGGUCACAUAGAAUAGGCCAUAUGUGAGUGGGUCACACUGACUGACUUACACAGGUGAAGUGAGGCAUGUCUGCUUUUUUUUUUUUUUUCCUCACUGACAUGUGGAAUUAAACUCUAUAACUCAGUAUAGAUUAUAAAGCUGGUAUGUUUAAUUCACCGGCGGGCAUCAGGGUAGAUAAUUCCAAAAGCACCUGCUGCCCUGACUUCUUUGUGCACGUGUGAUUUAAAGUAUACAUUCAUACAUCCUCAACAGAUGCCCUAUUUAUAUAUAUAUAUAUAGAGAGAGAGAGAGAGAGAGAAUAGGUUGGGUUAGGAUAGUCUACUGAGAAGUCAUUAUCAUAAGUUUCCUCCCAUUCGCGCUUGCGCGCUGUCUCCUGAUGGUGGUCAUGGUGGUGGUUGAGGAUGAAGGCUUAGCAGUCUCCCUCGCUCUGAACUUUUCACCUUCACUCUUUGCGCAGACUCAGUUGUGUCUCGAGUUUUUUCCAAACCAUAAACCAGGACAGAUCCAGUUUUCCUAUCUCAAGGCACAGAUGUACAUACUGGUGUCAUCUUAUCGGCACACAGAGCGUCCCAGGUCCACCUUAUCAGUACGAAGGGCCUCAGGACUGGGAUAAUUUGCAAAGUCAUACUGUGAAGCUCCGCGCCUCAUUUGCGAAGUCACACUACAAAACUCCUUUUUGCACGUACAAUGAGAAUUUUAAUUAUUCUAAGUUUUCCAUAUCCUAUUAAUCUAGUUAUUGCUAAGCUUUCUAUCACCACUGUGCUUCUAAAGUGUUGUUGGAUUGCUCAAGGAAUGCAUUUUAAGGAAAACACUAAACUGAGACACUGUGGUGGGUAAAUUUUGAAGUUUUAAGCAUGGAAAAAGAAGAAGGAAAUAAAAAGGAAAAAAGACAUAGAGGUGUUACAUUGGUAGGGAAGAGAGAGAAGCCAACCCACAGGCACGUAACCUGGGAUGCAGUCCAUGCCCCAGUCUAACUGCAUUUUCCUUAGGCUUCUCUGUAACCCUGCCCCGACAACGCUUCCAAAAGCUGUUACGUUGAGCCAUAAAUCCAUAUGCAAAAUGGAUGAGGCACAUUUUCCAAAGCACCUUAAACGGUGUGUGGGGAAAUGGGAGGCCUCAGUGCUGCAGGAUGUGGCAUCACCCCUAUGUAUAUGGUAAUAUUAUUCACAAAUACAGAGAAAGUCUCAAGAGGCUUUUCAUAAAACAAGUUCUUAGCUGAAGAUCUUGCAAGGGUUCAGAGCUGGCCUACUUGAUUCAAUAGUUUUCUUUCCCCUUUCUCUCUGUAUAUCAAGAUUUCUGUGUGUGCAUGUGUGUGUAUAUAUGUGUAGACAUUUGAAGAAAGGGAGUAUAAAAAUUGGAUGCGUUCUUUGUCUUUCAUGGAAUAUACGUGGGGAUUUAUUUAGAUUAGCAGCAAUGGGCUAUGUAUCUGUUCAGUUUUUUUAUCUGUGGCCUGAAUCUUACAGUAAAAAUGUUCUUAUUUUCCAAAUCGCAUGAACA